CCCUUAGAUGUUCUGGGCGGCCCGCGCACUACAUUGGCACUAGCAAAGAGAUCCUAGAUUGAAUUCUUUGGGGUAUUCUUCUAAAUGGUGUCGUGACUGGGAUAAAUCCUUGUAAUUAUUGGUUUUGAACGAGGAAUUCCUUGUAAUCGCGGUUUAUCAGCUCGCGUUGAAUGCGUCCCUGCCCUUUGUACACACCGCCCGUCGCUACUACCGAUUGAAUGGCUUAGUGAGGCCUCCGGAUUGGCUUUGGGGAGCCGGCAACGGCACCUCAUGGCUGAGAAGUUGGUCAAACUUGGUCAUUUAGAGGAAGUAAAAGUCGUAACA
rnacentral:rRNA from 1 species